rnacentral:rRNA from 2 species
GGGUUGUGAGGUUAAGCGACUAAGCGUACACGGUGGAUGCCCUGGCAGUCAGAGGCGAUGAAGGGCGUGCUAAUCUGCGAUAAGCGCCGGUAAGGUGAUAUGAACCGUUAUAACCGGCGAUACCCGAAUGGGGAAACCCAGUGUGAUUCGUCACACUAUCAUUAACUGAAUCCAUAGGUUAAUGAGGCGAACCGGGGGAACUGAAACAUCUAAGUACCCCGAGGAAAAGAAAUCAACCGAGAUUCCCCCAGUAGCGGCGAGCGAACGGGGAGGAGCCCAGAGCCUGAAUCAGCAUGUGUGUUAGUGGAAGCGUCUGGAAAGGCGCGCGAUACAGGGUGACAGCCCCGUACACAAAAGCGCAUGUGCUGUGAGCUCGAUGAGUAGGGCGGGACACGUGGUAUCCUGUCUGAAUAUGGGGGGACCAUCCUCCAAGGCUAAAUACUCCUGACUGACCGAUAGUGAACCAGUACCGUGAGGGAAAGGCGAAAAGAACCCCGGCGAGGGGAGUGAAAAAGAACCUGAAACCGUGUACGUACAAGCAGUGGGAGCACAGGUUUACCUGUGUGACUGCGUACCUUUUGUAUAAUGGGUCAGCGACUUAUAUUCUGUAGCAAGGUUAACCGUAUAGGGGAGCCGUAGGGAAACCGAGUCUUAACCGGGCGUUAAGUUGCAGGGUAUAGACCCGAAACCCGGUGAUCUAGCCAUGGGCAGGUUGAAGGUUGGGUAACACUAACUGGAGGACCGAACCGACUAAUGUUGAAAAAUUAGCGGAUGACCUGUGGCUGGGGGUGAAAGGCCAAUCAAACCGGGAGAUAGCUGGUUCUCCCCGAAAGCUAUUUAGGUAGCGCCUCGUGAAUUCAUCUCCGGGGGUAGAGCACUGUUUCGGCUAGGGGGCCAUCCCGGCUUACCAACCCGAUGCAAACUGCGAAUACCGGAGAAUGUUAUCACGGGAGACACACGGCGGGUGCUAACGUCCGUCGUGAAGAGGGAAACAACCCAGACCGCCAGCUAAGGUCCCAAAGUCAUGGUUAAGUGGGAAACGAUGUGGGAAGGCCCAGACAGCCAGGAUGUUGGCUUAGAAGCAGCCAUCAUUUAAAGAAAGCGUAAUAGCUCACUGGUCGAGUCGGCCUGCGCGGAAGAUGUAACGGGGCUAAACCAUG